rnacentral:lncRNA from 1 species
UCUCAAAGCUGGCCUUGCAGACACGCUAGUGAGAGGAAAGGCAUUUCCAAACUUGCAGUGAGUGCAUUUUGGCUGGUGGAAGCUUUCCCCAGUGCUAUGGCUUUUGCCAAGAAGCUCAGAAUUGCUCAAAGAGCAGCCAGUGUUGCAGACAGAAGAGAACUGUGGGCUUGUUUCUGAAGGACUUUCUGAAGGUGGCCGGUACAGAUAAAGCGACUUCUGCUCAGACAUAAUUCAUAUGGAGGCAUGCUGGAAGGUAAAAGUACCUGAUCAGAAUCAAAUGCAGCCCUGGUCCAUGAUGGCAUUCCUCCAGGCUGCAUGGGGCUACGCACAAUCACUGUUUUCUUUCAAAGGCUUUAGCAAGAGAAAUGUUUGCCCGGAAAAACUCCAUGCCAUGAUCUCAAUGCUGUCCUGAACACAGCCUCAUAUCUCAAACCAAGCAGCGUGCAAAGGUACUUACUUCAUUGUGUCAAGUAAG